rnacentral:sRNA from 2 species
AGCAUUGUUUUCUAGGGUUCCGCAGCGAAUCGCUGGUCUGGUCCGAGAGAAAACACACAGCGCUUCGCUGUGACACGGAGGGACAAAAGCCCGGGAGUA